rnacentral:rRNA from 1 species
GAUGAACGCUGGCGGCGUGCUUAACACAUGCAAGUCGAACGGAAAGGCCCAAGCUUGCUUGGGUACUCGAGUGGCGAACGGGUGAGUAACACGUGGGUGAUCUGCCCUGCACUUCGGGAUAAGCCUGGGAAACUGGGUCUAAUACCGGAUAGGACGAUGGUUUGGAUGCCAUUGUGGAAAGUUUUUUCGGUGUGGGAUGAGCUCGCGGCCUAUCAGCUUGUUGGUGGGGUAAUGGCCUACCAAGGCGUCGACGGGUAGCCGGCCUGAGAGGGUGUACGGCCACAUUGGGACUGAGAUACGGCCCAGACUCCUACGGGAGGGAGCAGUGGGGAAUAUUGCACAAUGGGCGCGAGCCUGAUGCAGCGACGCCGCGUGGGGGAUGACGGCCUUCGGGUUGGAAACUCCUUUCGCUAGGGACGAAGCGUUUUUGUGACGGUACCUGGAGAAGAAGCACCGGCUAACUACGG